UUUCCAGAUUGAGGUGAAGUUGUUGACAUGUUUGAUCAAGAAGGCUCUUUGAGGAAGAACUAGUCCUCCAGGAUGGACAGGAUUCUCCCAAGGUCACACAUGAGUCAGUACACGAGCCUCUCACUGUUGUGGCCUCUCCCCUUGCAGAGCACAGGCUCCGGACGUGCAGGCUCAGUGGCCAUGGCUCACGGGCCCAGCCGCUCCGCGGCGUGUGGGAUCCUCCCGGACCUGGGCACGAACCCAUGUCCCCUGCAUCGGCAGGUGGACCCUCAACCACUGUGCCACCAGGGAAGCUCUGUUACAAACUUUUGACAUUCAUACUGUUUAAGAAUCAAAGCUAUGGGAGCAGCUGGGCCUCCCAAGAGGCAGUUUCACAGGGACUGCGUGUUACUAGAGAGUCAUAUACACCCAUGCGGCCUUUGGAAAGCCUGCAGAUUAUGAAUUCCAUGGUAUUGAAUAAUCCUUGAGCCUCCCAGUACUUCACUGAGCAAUAAUUUCUUUACCACCCUAGCAUUUGGUACCUGCUCUUUUAAAGGCAGGAGAAGAGACUGGAAAAAUGAGCAAUAUUGUUCUUCGGGGACGGGUGAUUAAUGUGGCCAGCGGGCAGGCAUAUGCAUCCUGCGCAACCACCUCCCGGGAACAAGAACGAGGUCCGUGUGCCUUCUGAGAGCACCUGGGCUAUUCUGGGACAGUCUCUAUGAUGCAAGGGCCCGGUGACCAAGGCAGGAUCCUUGUGUUUACCAUCAUCAGCAGCCUUGCUUUUCAGCAAAUGGAAGAACUUUUUGCUGUCAUGGGAGGAUAGCGGAAGCAGUGGAUGGGUGGCUACAGCUCCUGACCCUAAGUGAAUCCCUUCCUACUUUGUGCUUCUGAUUCUGUGCCAUGCAGUGGACUGUCAGUGAUACGGAAUCUGCCGCUUUUGCCGAGCCAGCAUCUGUCCUCAUGACCAGCUGCAGCACCUCAGCUUUCCUUUUGGAACUACAUCUCAGCUGCUUCCAGUCCAAACAGUUCCAGGGGGCUGACCUUAUAUUCCACCCACCUAGAAGAUGGCUGUAUGAUCCACAUCUAGCCAAUCCCAUUUUUCAUCCUCUGCUUGCUGUGAUCGGUUCAAGGGUGAGAAUGUGACCCAAGCCAGGCCAAAGGCAUUCAAAGUCAUGAGUUUUCAUGGAACCCUAGGGAAGGAGAAACCCUUCCUGGUAGAAUGGAUGUUGUGUGGGUGUCAUCUUGGAGUUGCUGGUGGCUGUGGAUGCAGUGAGAGAGACUGUGCCGGUGAAUGGGACCACCCCAAGGCAUUCAGCGGGACUGAUUCAGCAGGACAUACUACAAGAACGUGAGCCAUUGGACCUGACACCUCCAAACCCACUCUUCAACUUGUCUCUUUUCUGCCUGCAGGGAGCGCUGUCACCAGUGAACUGUGAGUGAGGCGCGGCCUGCAGUUCCGGGACUGUCCACAGGGGGGCCAAGCCCACCUCGCUGACCCACGGCGCAUGCGCAUUCCACCUGGGACUUGGCUCUGCGCGCCUGAAAGGAAUUCUGUUGCCUCAGGCACCCGCUUGGGCCUGGGAUGCCUCGCUGACAGCGUCUCUGCCAACAGGAGCUCAGUCUCCUUAGGGCUCGCUGGGGUUCAGCUUCAGAACAACACAGGACUGCGUCCAUGCAGACUGGAGCUGAGUUUCCUUACGACCGGGAGGAAAAGGUCAUCCACAACACGGAAGAAAGUGGCUCCUAAUAUAAUCUUCUCACAGUGCCUCUAAAUUACGUGUGGACUUUGGGUGAACU